rnacentral:rRNA from 1 species
AUACGUAGGGAGCGAGCGUUGUCCGGAAUUACUGGGCGUAAAGGGCGCGUAGGCGGCGCUUCAAGUCGUCUGUCAAAUGGAAGGGCUUAACCCUUUUUCGCAGACGAAACUGGAGAGCUUGAGAAGCAGAGAGGCAAACAGAAUUCCUGGUGUAGCGGUGAAAUGCGUAGAUAUCGGGAGGAACACCAGUGGCGAAGGCGACUUCCUGGCACAAUACUGACGCUCAUGUGCGAAAGCUAGGGUAGCGAACGGGAUUAGAUACCCCGGUAGUCCUAGCCGUAAACGAUGGUUACUAGGUGUGGGUGUCGCAGGGCAUCCGUGCCGCAGCUAACGCGUUAAGUAUCCCGCCUGGGGACUACGGUCGCAAGACUAAAACUCAAAUGAAUUGACGGGG